rnacentral:lncRNA from 1 species
GAGAAGGGAGGCGGCGGGCAAAGCGCACGUCGAGCGGGGGAGCGGCGCUGCCUGUGGAGAUCCGCGGAGGCCGACAGGAUUCGUUGGCUACCGUCCCCGCUGCCGUGCACUGGCCUGGAGCUGCUAUAUAGACCAAACUGGCCUCCAAGUCACAGAAAUCCACCUGCCUCUACCUCCUGAGAGCUAGAAGUAAAGGUUAAAAACGACAACGAACACCAACCAUGAAAGAUCCAAGUCGCAGCAGUACUAGCCCAAGCAUCAUCAAUGACGAUGUGAUUAUUAACGGUCAUUCUCAUGAAGAGGAUAAUCCAUUUGCAGAGUACAUGUGGAUGGAAAAUGAAGAGGAAUUCAACAGACAAAUAGAAGAGGAGUUGUGGGAAGAAGAAUUUAUUGAACGCUGUUUCCAAGAAAUGCUGGAAGAGGAAGAAGAACAUGAAUGGUUUAUUCCAGCCCGAGAUCUCCCACAAACUAUGGACCAAAUCCAAGACCAGUUUAAUGACCUUGUUAUCAGUGAUGGCUCUUCUC